rnacentral:lncRNA from 1 species
ACUUGCAAACCACCGGCCGGGAUCGCCGAGGUGUGGCCUGUUUUCAUGGCGACCAGGACGCUCUGCAUCCCCAGUAGCAGGCUGAGCCGAGGGAGGCUGCGUAUGCCCGCCCCUCUGGCUGUCGGAGCCGCACCUCUUCCUCUUCCGGCCCCCGUAGCAAUUAGGUUUCUUUGCAGGAGAUGAAGCCAGACUGCUCAUCAUUCCAGACAUCUUCAGCUGCUACACCCAGAACAAGCAUUCGAAAUAUGAACAGGAUGGUGAGCCAGAUCUUUCCAAUCAUGGUGGAGUGGAUGUGAACUUCCUCCAGAGUAUCUCCAAGGAGAUUCCAGUCCCCCAUGUUUAUUUAGUCAGCCAUCUUAGCUCUGAUCCACAUCAAAUAAGAGGCAGAUAAAUUCUUCCAUUCUGAAGGGAGCACUAUUUCUUAAAGCAAACCUAUGGUGAAAAUAUAACAAUAUGUCACUUCUAAAAAAAAAAAAAAA